GGGGUUGUGGCUCAGCGGUAGAGCGCUCGCCUAGCAGGUUAGAGACCCUGGGUUCGAUCCUCAGCACCACA
rnacentral:tRNA from 1 species